rnacentral:rRNA from 1 species
GAAAUCAGUUCAGCACUAAGUCACUUUGUCUAUAUGGCAAAUGUGAGAUGCAGUGUAUGGAACAUCAAUAUUCUAGUAUGAGAAAUUAACGAUUUAAGUCCUUCUUAAAUGAGGCCAUUUACCCAUAGAGGGUGCCAGGCCCGUAUAACGUUAAUGAUUAUUAGAUGGUGUUUCCAAAGAGUCGUGUUGCUUGAUAGUGCAGCACUAAGUGGGUGGUAAACUCCAUCUAAAACUAAAUAUAACCAUGAGACCGAUAGUAAACAAGUACCGUGAGGGAAAGUUGAAAAGAACUCUGAAUAGAGAGUUAAAUAGUACGUGAAACUGCUUAGAGGUUAAGCCCGAUGAACCUGAAUAUCCAUUAUGGAAAAUUCAUCAUUAGAAUUGUAAUAUUUAAACAAUAUUAUAAUAAUAGUGUGCAUUUUUUCCAUAUAAGGACAUUGUAAUCUAUUAGUAUCAAUUAAUUUAUCAAAAAAUUUUAGUCAAUUGCUUAUUUAAAUUAAAAUGCUUGCAUUUUAACAUAAAAUAAAAGUCAUAAAUUUGAUAAAGUGCUGAUAGAUUUAUAUGAAUACAGUGCGUUAAUUCUUCGGAAUUGUAUAAUGGCAUGAUUAUCAUUGAUUUUUGUGUUUAUUAUAUGCACUUGUAUGAUUAACAAUGCGAAAGA